GCCCAGAUGGCGGAACUGGCAGACGCGUGAGACUCAAAAUCUCAUGUCCUUACGGGCGUGUGGGUUCGAUUCCCUCUCUGGGCA
rnacentral:tRNA from 1 species